CUCCGAACUGCUGAGAAAUAUUGCAAAAAUGACUUCAGCUGCCAAAAAUAAUGUCGUUUACAAGCAGCUCUUCCUAUGUCUAAGGAAGAACUAGUCACACAUGCGAGUUUUUGCUGGCUUGAGAACAAGCAAGGAAAAAGACAAAUCCCACCUACCCUAGCCUAAAAUACACAGUGAGUCUCAGAACCCCGCGGAAGCUGUGGCUCAUUUCUAAAGGUGCUGGCAAUAUCGAGGAAGACUUGUAUCCACAAAAUUCCAAAUGAUUAAAUAAUCAAGUCAUUAUUGUGAAUUUGGAUCUAAAUGACCUGGCAGAAACCAUGGAGAUGAUCUUGAGUGAAAUAACACUGGUAAGUUCUGGAAGGUGCUUCAUAGUGUUCCAAAGUGUGUCAUCCCUGUGCUUAUGCAUUUGUAUCAAGGAUUUAAAGAGGAAAAACUCAAAGCAAUGUAUUCUGAUCAAGAAAUGGCAGGAAAUGGCAGCUACCUGAUAUGGAACAAUCAACAACUGAAGGUUUAUUUUGAAUGAGAGGUGUUGUCCAACUGCGAGACGGAGUGAUUGAAGCUGAGAAUAAAUGGAAACACAAUCAAUAGUCACUCCAGUGAGGUAGGAAAGAAAGCCAUUCCGAAGUGGCAGAGAAGCUGCUUUUUCCUCCUGCAUGCUGCCUGCUAGUGUGGAUCUUGGCAUAACAGACACUACUUGGCAAAAGAUCCAUCCUUCCUUUUCCUAUACUUUGCUCAGCGGCCUGGAAGAUUGACCUCAAAAGCAAAAUCACCUGGAUUUCCUUGCCAUUUGGCUUUCAAAUGUGCUCAGCCAAUGACAGGCUGGAAAGAAAUUGACAGCUGGGAAAAGAGGAAGAUUUGUGUACAAGAUCCCUUCCACUCCCAUCUCAUUACCUGCCAUGGUCCUAGCAGUGGCUGUUCUUAUUAUGGCCACAACUACUCUUGGACAGGCCAACAUCCACAACUCCAUCCUUCAACUAGGCUUCAUUAACACUGUCCCUCACCCUUAUCUCUUUCUGGGUAGGGGUGAUAAAGGUUUCCUGACAUCAGAGUUCCUGAGUGCCUCAUAUAUUCUUGUUGGUCCCUGAACCUUGCCCCAACAUCAAUAAAAAGUUCCUUCAUUAAAUAAUUUUCAGUUGAAUCUUUCGUGCUGGGAUCUGUCCAAUUCGACUUUAGCAUACUUUUCGUGCCAAGAAAGUGAUAGUUUCUUGCCAGGAUUUGGCUCAAAGGGCUCACAGUGGGUGAGGGGAUGAGAUUACUUAUUAAGUGAUAAAAUGGAGAUCACAGUGGUUAACCUGCCUAAGAUCACAUGGUUGGUCAACUCAUGGUCGAUUCAUUAAAAUAUUAAAACAUAGAAUCAGUCAGGCAGUGGAUGUAAUAGAUAAAUAAAACACACAUGUACCCUUAAUAAUUUAUAUUCUAGGCAGGCGUGGUGGCUCACGCCUGUAAUCCCAGCACUUUGUGAGGCCAAGGUGGGUGGAUCACCUGAGGUCGGGAGUUCAAGACCAGCCUCACAAACAUGGAGAAACCCCAUCUCUACUAAAAAUACAAAAUUAGCUGGGCUUGGUGGUGCAUGCCUGUAAUCCCAGCUACUCAGGAGGCUGAGGCAGGUGAAUUGCUUGAACCCAGUAGGUGGAGGUUGCAGUGAGCCGAGAUUGCACCAUCGCACCCAGCCUGGGCAACAAGACUGAAACUCCAUCUCAAAAAAAAAAAGUCUAUAUACAUACACACACACA
rnacentral:lncRNA from 1 species